GAACCUCAUUUUCACAGGCUCUUGCGUUCCUUUUGCUGUGGUUUCAUCCAUGUGUGGUCCUAAAAGUGAGAGUGUGUGUUUUUAAUCUCGCACAGCGGUACCGCCCUUCUGCAGGGUUUCCGGCCUGACACGUUCACUUAUGAAGGUGCCAUUUCCCCCGUUGCCAUGUCCUGCUCCGGUUCAUCUGUUCUCACGCCGCUGCACAAGCACAGGGCCUGGAUGUCACCCUACCUGCUUUGACGCUGGCCCCCAGGGCCUCAGAUCCAGUGCGAGGACACGCUGAAUGUGGGAGACCGAGGGACACAGGCUCGCACACUCUAAGGUCCUGUCGCUAAUGGGAGAGAAACAGCUCUAAGAAAGUACACACAUUAAGCUUCAUCCAUCCAUUAUAUACGAAAGAAAAUGAAUUUAUCUGCUUUUUACCACUUUUCCAGAUGCCCCCCUGAGGCUGCGCUGGAGGAAGGAAUUCGGUCACAACUCUGGCCAGCUGAGAAGCUGCUCAAAGCCUCCCAGGCCUCCCCGGGAGACAAAUGGGGUCUCUUGGAGGAGGGGCCCACGUGGGGAUGGAGGUCCUUGUCGUCCACAGCCGCAGACCGUGUGCCUCUGGCCUCCAACGCGAGCAAGCUGGGCACCACGAGCAGGCUAGGAGGGAGGCUGGGAAGCUGGCAGGGACACUGUGACAGUGCCCUGUGCUUGCUGUGCCACACAGGGGUCACAGUGGAGUGCAAGGCCCCUGUGCAUGCCCCCACAGCCAUCUGAGGGGGCGGUACAGACCAAGCUUGAGGGCAGACCAGCACUUCUGCUCUCUGAUCCUCCCACUGCAGGGAGCCCUGAGCCCGAGCGGGCGGAGGGAAGAGCUCGGCUCUCUGGGUCUCCUUGGGCACAGCUCGCCCAGCCAGUCCUGGACCACCAGCGAUGCUGUCCCCUCACUGCAGGGGGUUCCUGUUUGCUGCAGCUGAAAGCAUCCUGACUCUACAGCUGCUGCGUCUUUGCACCCAUCUCAGUCUUAAAAUAAAAAGGGAAACCCAGUUUUGCUAAUUCUGGGU
ensembl:lncRNA